UUUGUGGGGAAUGUUGUCUGGUUCAAGGCUUCAAGUUCUUGAGUACUACCCAUCAAAGACUCAAUCUUGGAUUCAUUCCAAUGGCCUCGGACCAGGCUUCAUUCCCCUCAAU
rfam:Eucalyptus grandis cultivar BRASTZ1 unplaced genomic scaffold scaffold_11, whole genome shotgun sequence.